rnacentral:rRNA from 1 species
UACGGGGGGGGCAAGCGUUGUUCGGAAUUACUGGGCGUAAAGGGCUCGUAGGUCGCCAACUAAGUCAGACGUGAAAUCCCUCGGCUUAACCGGGGAACUGCGUCUGAUACUGGAUGGCUUGAGUUUGGGAGAGGGACGCGGAAUUCCAGGUGUAGCGGUGAAAUGCGUAGAUAUCUGGAGGAACACCUGAGGUGAAGACGGGUUGCUGGGCCGACACUGACGCUGAUGCGCGAAAGCCAGGGGAGCAAACGGG